GGGCACCUUUAACCCAUCAUGCUUUACGGUCUCAUAUCGACAAGAAAAAGAUGGCGGACGAGCCAAGGUGCGAAAUGUCGACGAAAUGGCCCUCUAGACACGUGAGAUAUUUUUAUUGCUUAAACUGUGCUUUGGUAAUGGCUGGCAUGCUUAAGCAAGUGCAUUAAUGUCAACAAGGAACAGGAUGAAUUCCAUGGAUUGAUAAAGGUCAUAUGAGUUA